GUCACAGCCGGGACUGAGAGAACUGCUGCAUCUGUGGAAACUUCUAUUCUCGUGGGGCAGAGAUUGCACUGUGAAACCCUACCGACACUACCCCGGAAGGGCCUGGCCUCCGAGGUGUCUGCAGCGUGCUGCCUUCGCCGGGGCUUUUCAGAAUGGGCCGGGGCCUCGGGGGUCUUCAUCCCCAAGGAAGCCUCUUGAUUUUUGGCACCGCCUUUGUUUUUGGGCCGGAAGCCGUUGUGCGGCUGUCUUCUGUGUUCGUGGCGGCUGUUGCCCUUUCCCAGUGGCUCGGCUUCAUUCCCACUGCCCUGCGACUUGGCAGGCCCAUUUAGCCUGUUGUUAUGAUACUGUGGAUUAAAUCUCCGUCUUUGGUUAGAAGAUCCAUUCUACCAAAAAAGAAAAGAGAUAAGUAUCAGAUGCCAGCAAGCCACUGAUGACACCAGUAGACAUCAGGAAAACCAAAUCUCUAAGCCACAGUUAUAAGCAAAGAAAAUUUGAAGCCUCUAUUAAAAAAUCAUUCCUUCAACACAUCACUGACCAGGAACGUAAAUGGAUGAGCAGUAAGGACGCAAUGGAUUAAGCUCCUUUACAAGGGAAAGAUUUCUGAACUCCUCAAGCUCUUAUUGUGGGCCUUUAUUCUGCAAAGAAGGCUGCAGUGCCAGCGGAGCUGACUGCCAGUGCCAAGUGUGUGACUGACAUAACGUAUGGAGGUAAUUGCAGCAAAGCACAUCAUCUGAUCUUGAGAACCCAGCAGCCAUUCAGAGGAGCUCCAACCUACAUCCUCGUGCCAUUCCCCACCUCCCGCCACUGUCAGUGGCUUUGAGCAGCUCCAAUCCAUCUACACCCUCUGGCAAUGGCAGCCUCUUAACAGAAGAGCUCAGUCUGUGCCCUUUGACAAGUUUCUUCACCACCACAAGGCUGCACGUUCCUCUGGUAGCCACACACCUUCUUCGAUCAGGGAUUACUGCAGCUGCUACUGAGAAUACUAGAGUACUGCAUGGUGCAAAGCAGGAUAUGACCGGUUACUCAGCAAAGGACCUCAUUUGGUAUUGUGAAGCCUACCUGAGACCACCUGUAUUUGAUGAUUAUGUAAACAUACUACUUUUCUGAAGAACCACAGGUGGUCAACGUAAGUAACCCAAGUUUCUGUUUUUAGAAGCAAUUUAAAAUAUGCUUUAUUUAAUAGCAAAAAGAGUACUAAAAUGAGAUGACAUUUCCAUUAACCUACAUUUCAUUUUUCAAGAAGACUUGAGAUUUUGCAAAACAUCGUAAAUGGGAAAUGAAGUCUCUAAAGAACUUAACAAUUCAAGCAGGCGUGUCCAUUCAUUCAUUAUUCAUUCAUUUAUCUAACUCUAUCUGGGGGUCAACUAUGUAUCAAACCCAAGAAUAGUAAUAGUAAGACCCAUUCUCUGCCUCCAAGAAGCACAGUCUCACAUGGGGAGACAGAGCCACAACUAACAAUUACACUCCGUGGAAUAACAGCUGCAGUGGAGAAUGCAGAGAAGCCCACAGAAGUACAAGGUGAAUGACAGAGGAAGGGCGAAUCAUUCAGGCAGGGUAGGAGAAAGAAGAGAGUUGAGUCCCUGAGGAGGACAUCCCAGACAGAGGAAACAGCCUUUGCAAAGGAGGCAGACACAUUCAAGGUCAGGGUGGCGAAUGAGAGAUGCGUGGAGAUGCGGCAGUGGAUAAGGGUGUAAAAGGUGGACGGGGUCCACUCAUGCAGGGGAUGUAUGUUAUGCCGAAGAGACCAGACUCUGAUUGCAACCAUAUUUUCAAUUUAAAUCCUUAUCGUUAUAAUCCAACAAGGUAGAGAUAUUUUAAAAUGAAACAGUUAAAAUGAUUGUCAAUUUUAAGUUUCAGUUGUCUUGAAUAUUAAACCUGAAAUCAUUAGCUACCUGCUUCUUUGGACUAAAAGCUGCAUGAAGGCAGGAAUCAUUUCCUCACCAAAGCACCUACUCGAAUUCAUCCA
ensembl:lncRNA novel transcript, antisense to SPATS2L